GGUGGCUCAGUGGUAGAGUGCUUGCCUUGCAUGCAUGAGGCCCUGGGUUCAAUUCUCAGCACCA
rnacentral:tRNA from 1 species